rnacentral:rRNA from 1 species
ACAUCAAUAAGCGGAGGAAAAGGAACCAACAGGGAUUACCUCAGUAACGGCGAGUGAAGCGGUAACAGCUCAAAUUUGAAAUCUGGCUCGCGCCCGAGUUGUAAUUUGUAGAAGAUGCUUCGGGUGAGGCUCCGGUCUAAGUUCCUUGGAACAGGACGUCAUAGAGGGUGAGAAUCCCGUACGUGACUGGCUGCCUUUGCGCAUGUGAAGCUCUUUCGACGAGUCGAGUUGUUUGGGAAUGCAGCUCAAAGCGGGUGGUAAAUUCCAUCUAAAGCUAAAUAUUGGCCAGAGACCGAUAGCGCACAAGUA